rnacentral:rRNA from 2 species
UGGGGAAUAUUGCACAAUGGGCGCAAGCCUGAUGCAGCUAUGCCGCGUGUAUGAAGAAGGCCUUCGGGUUGUAAAGUACUUUCAGCGGGGAGGAAGGGAGUAAAGUUAAUACCUUUGCUCAUUGACGUUACCCGCAGAAGAAGCACCGGCUAACUCCGUGCCAGCAGCCGCGGUAAUACGGAGGGUGCAAGCGUUAAUCGGAAUUACUGGGCGUAAAGCGCACGCAGGCGGUUUGUUAAGUCAGAUGUGAAAUCCCCGGGCUCAACCUGGGAACUGCAUCUGAUACUGGCAAGCUUGAGUCUCGUAGAGGGGGGUAGAAUUCCAGGUGUAGCGGUGAAAUGCGUAGAGAUCUGGAGGAAUACCGGUGGCGAAGGCGGCCCCCUGGACGAAGACUGACGCUCAGGUGCGAAAGCGUGGGGAGCAAACAGG